ensembl:misc_RNA Y_RNA Y RNA
GGCUGGUCCAAUGUCAGGGGGUUAUCAGAACUUAUUAACAUUAGUGUCACCCCCCCCCACUGCUAAAUUUGACUGGCUUUAA